rnacentral:lncRNA from 1 species
UUCCCUGGAGCCAGGCUUUUCUAACCAUCUCAGAUCAGGCGUCUGAACUUCACUGCCCUUUCCUGGAGUAGGAAGAACUCUCUGCAUGAACUGUCAGGGUGAUCUCUCUGUCCUUCGAUGCCAUCAGUUCUCAUCCUAAACGUCUUGAGAGGGUCAAGCGGGUGGCUUUUAAAAUCAAUGUCUCGAACUCCAGAAGACGUCGUCCACCCUGAGAAAACUAAGUAGGCAGGCUUUCUCCUCAGAGCCUUCUCUGCCCUCGUUUCCUCCCUUGCCCCUUCCCCACCUCACCUGUGUCCAUUCCCUGCCUUUCCUUCCUUUGCUAAGCUCAGGAAAAAAUCUGAUAAACUCCUUAGGGCAUAAGUUCUAAGCAAAAGAAGGGAACUUUGAGGGUGGGAUCUGAGGCUUCUUGGAGCCAGUGCAGAAGGAAUUUGAGGGUGGGAAGGAGCCUUGCUGAUUCUCACAGAUUCAGACAUUAUUAGACCAGGUUUACAUCACACAUUGUUUCUCUUUAAUCAAUAUCAAACAAUAUAUUUCAGUUCAGUAAAUACUAGAGUGUCGGAAAACAAGCUAGGUGCUUGUUGGUCACAGUUCUGGAGGAGAGACAAAUAAAUGUCUAUUUUUAAAAAAUGAUACAGAAAUAAAUACUCCUUAAAAAUGCCAUAGAAGUCUAUGCAAUGUAUCUUCUAAAACAUU